ACGAGGUGCUGCAUGGUUGUCGUCAGCUCGUGCCGUGAGGUGUCGGGUUUACGGGUCCAUAACGAGCGCAACCCCUACCUUUAGUUGCCAUCAGGUUAAGCUGGGGACUCUAAAGGAACUGCCUACGCAAGUAGUGAGGAAGGCGGGGAUGACGUCAAAUCAGCACGGCCCUUACGUCCAGGGCUACACACGUGCUACAAUGGCCGAUACAGAGGGCAGCUACCUGGUGACAGGAUGCAAAUCUCCAAAGUCGGUCUCAGUUCGGAUCGGAGUCUGCAACCCGACUCCGUGAAGUUGGAUUCGCUAGUAAUCGCGCAUCAGCCAUGGCGCGGUGAAUACGUUCCCGGGCCUU
rnacentral:rRNA from 1 species